GAUGAACGCUGGCGGCGUGCCUAAUACAUGCAAGUCGAGCGAACAGACGAGGAGCUUGCUCCUCUGACGUUAGCGGCGGACGGGUGAGUAACACGUGGAUAACCUACCUAUAAGACUGGGAUAACUUCGGGAAACCGGAGCUAAUACCGGAUAAUAUAUUGAACCGCAUGGUUCAAUAGUGAAAGACGGUUUUGCUGUCACUUAUAGAUGGAUCCGCGCCGCAUUAGCUAGUUGGUAAGGUAACGGCUUACCAAGGCAACGAUGCGUAGCCGACCUGAGAGGGUGAUCGGCAACACUGGAACUGAGACACGGUCCAGACUCCUACGGGAGGCAGCAGUAGGGAAUCUUCCGCAAUGGGCGAAAGCCUGACGGAGCAACGCCGCGUGAGUGGUGAAGGUCUUCGGAUCGUAAAACUCUGUUAUUAGGGAAGAACAAAUGUGUAAGUAACUAUGCACGUCUUGACGGUACCUAAUCAGAAAGCCACGGCUAACUACGUG
rnacentral:rRNA from 1 species